UCAUUUGUGUCUUCUGUUUUAAGUAAAUGUGUUUGUUUUGGUACAAGGUGCUAAGACUAGAGGAGAAUUGUGGGUGGGUCUGUCAGAAGCAAAGAAAAGCGGCGUCAGGCAAUAUAGUAAGGUAACCACUGCCUCACGGGGUGUCAUCUGUGGUGACCUUGCCUUGAAUGAAGAAGGAACAAAACAAGAAAAAAAUAAAGGAAAAGAAAAGAGAGGAAGAAGAAAGAGAAAUAGAGAAAAGAGAAAUACACGGUACAAGCCAAACAGCAAGUACCUACAAAAACUACACCUCAGCCACGACAAUUCUAAAGUCAUCCAUCUACAGUGAAGCAGUAAAGGCGAGCGUUCCUCCUCUUCGUAUACCAUCAAGUCAUAGGGCAUUGGCUAUUGCCUCACCCCUCUGUACAUUACCGUGAAGCCUCCACAGCACCGCUCAUUAAGGUGUUUCCAUUGAAUUCCCCUCGCCAGGACCCACACUCCCAAGCACCUCGGCUCUCCACUUUCUACAGGGUCUCGUAAAAGCUACUCGGGUUUUCAAGGAAGUUUUCAUGAUUCUAAUGAUGGAUUAACAGGGAUUCUGUGUCAUCAGUGGGAAAAGAGCAUCCACACGAACUCGACAAGUGAUCUCCGAGACAUCUUAAAAUAAUUCUGUGAGACUUUUUCAAAACGGAACCGGGCCAGUGGUCCAAGCCAAGGAACGUAGUAAGUCUGUAGCUUCCUCGCUGUAGUUCCAUUGACUCCCGUGCCUUGGUGCAGUGUACCAGCGCGACGGAGUGAGCGGUGUCAGAGCCAGUCAAGGUAUUGGACAUUAAAUAAACUCAUUGCAUGAAAAAUAUACACGUAACCCGUCACAGGCCCGGCGUAUGAUCGUAUACCUCUCUCUCUCUCUCUCUCUCUCUCUCUCUCUCUCUCUCUCUCGUGUGCGUGUGUGCGCUCAGUCAAUACCUAUAUCCUGUAACCGGCGGUAGCGUUACACGAUUACAGAAUCUUGGCGGGAAGGAAGCCGGGAUCUGCGAGCGCGGAAAUUGUAAUGUCACCCAAGAAGAGGCCAAGUACUGCUGCAAAAAGAGUAAUCAUGUCGUUCUCCCACGCGCUGGCCGGUGGAGCCGCUGGGGUUCAAAACCGGGAUACAAAAUCAGCCACCGCCUCCCCACCCUUGCCCCAUCACUGCCUGGGAGAGGAAAGGCGCACAGGCGGAUCGGGGAGAAUGUCUCUGUAAUUCCACUUCAUCUAGGCUGGUGUGAGACCCUUCGGCAUUCAAGAGAAAGGUAAAAAUUUGGCAUUGCAUUGUUCCGAGACAGCCGGGCGUCCGUGCCGUGCCGGCCCACACAAAAGACAAGCACGAAAGAGGAAAGUUGCCUGUCUUGUCUGUUUGCGUUUCCGAUGAACCCUGAUAAUUGUGUUUUCGCAUCCCUGUUUGUCCUGUGACUCUGCCAACACGUCACCUUCUGCCUGCAACCCUCGAUUUCAGGACCCGUGCUCUGAAACGCUUUGUUCGCUCAUAAGGACCUUUUUACACAGAUUUUUCUUUCUUCUUUUCGGAUUCUCAUGCAUUUUUUUUUUCCAUGAAUGAAUCAAGCUACUUGUUCAACCUUCGCUGGAAUGUUCUUUCAUAAGGAUGAGUUUUCAGAUAUAUUUGUUUCGGGUUCUCAUACAUAUUUUUCCCCCACUGUUGAAGCAGAAUACUUGUUACACCUUCCCUAGAAUCAUGAGUACACCUUUGAAAACCCGAGCAGUCACGCCCACUAGAGCCAGUUGAACGCAGUCGAGGUAGGACGCCAGGACGCUUGAGAACACGGCCCAGCAAACUCGGUGUGAAUGUAAGGGAAUUAUUUCAGUAUUGUUAUGAAAUUACGUCACUCCCGCCACCGCCUACUCGCACCACCACCACCACCACCGCCACCGCCUUGCACCCACACCACCCAGUGUCUGCAGAUUACCUCACCACUGCAUCACCGGCUUUCCCCGCGGCUCAUCUCCCUUCCAGCAACUCCGUACAACUGGGUCACUGCUAUGCUCCCCUUCCCGCCGGCGAACCCAUUACUUGUGUACCCUGCCAUCUAUCCCACUCCGGCACAUUACGGCAAAACUACACACAAGCCACAACGCGGAGGAGAGCCGGCUGCGUGAAUUCAAGGGAGAACAUCCAGAACGGAGCUGCUACACGCACAUCUGAAAAGGCUGGACGUCACGUGAGCCAGUUCUGGGAAAUUUCAAGAAUGCACACAUGAAAUCUAACUGGGAAUCUAAAAUCCGUGGAACUUCAACUAGAACCUUUUUGGAAGCAAUGGAGGCGCGAGCAGAAGUGUUUUAGAAUACUGUCCCGCCACCCACACACCUCUCGCCGCACCAAAUGCUAUCCGGGAGAGCCUCGCAGGGAAGCCAUCGAUCGCCUGUCCUCCUGUCUCCUCUUCCCCGUGACCUGCAGAGGAUCGAAACCCACUCGCAACAUCGGGUUAAGUAGCCAUGGUGGCCGUGAGAGGGACCACUGAUGCCUCUGCCGCUCUCUUGAAUGAGUCCUUGUGCCCGGCGCUCGCCCGCACCGCCCCCCGCCGCGCCGCGCCUCCCCGCACAACUGUUUCAAGUGACUGGCGUGGGGGCGCCGUCAAUAAGGUUCUGCGGAACAGUUGAGGACACUCGAGGCCGGACGAGACGAUGCCUGCCGCCGCCUCACGCUACCCGCCCGCCACUACUGCUACUAUUCCCCUCCCCCCCUCUUCACCUGCCUAUCUCCAAGUGACGCACAUCAAGUUUUUGUUGCCCUUGGCCGGCGCCCAUCUUGCCGUUUUUACAGUGGCUACAAAUGCAUCAGCUGGCAGUACAGUCUCACUCUGGCUCCUGCGUGUGGCGCAGAGUGGAGUGACUUCCACCAGAAGCAUUUCCCGCCGUGCCUUCCUGCCAUGAAUGGGAGCUGCACCCACUACCACUCCACGAGGCCACCACAGGGAUUGGGGAAGUAUGUAAUUCUGCUGAAAACAUUACAUUGGUGCCACAAGAUCACAUCACCGUUGUAUGACUUUUCACUGACCACCAAAGGGGCGGCAGGAUAAAGUCGCUACGCCCCGCAUGCGUGUGAGGCCGCGGUGGCGUGGACCCUUUGUCUCACCACCGUGGUAAUGGGGUCCCGGUGGGUUUUCCCCAAACACUGCUCUAUAUUGAUCCGUUUGCGAAGCAGGAAUGCAAAGUGCCGACACAACUAACUGCCCUCGCCCUCUAUUAAACACACACUUACCGCCAGUUACAGUCAGCUGCUGUGCGUAAUAACGUGUCGACAUUCUAAUCAACGCACCAUGGAACAUAAGAAAAUAAAUGAAUCUCUCUCUCUCUCUCUCUCUCUCUCUCUCUCUCUCUCUCUCUCUCUCUCUCUCUCUCUCUCUCUCUCUCACACCACAAGAACUUUUAACCACAUUCAGAUAAUGAAAUCCUUAAAAUAUCUCAACUUAGCGGGCACAGUCUAGUAAUGAUGACCAAACACUCAAAGUUAACACAAUUUCGAACAACUUUGAAUAAAACGAAUGAUGGAAGGUUACUUCAUAUGAUGCUAUCUCUUCUUGCAGGGAUGUAUUAACCCAGGGAGGGAUGCCAAGGGUGAGGACAAAGGCAGAUGGGUUAGUCGGGGGAUGACAGGGCCAAGGACACAAAGAUGGGGUGAUAGGUGUAAGGAUAGAAGCGAUAGAUGGGUUAGUGAGAGGUGACAAGUAUGAUAACAGAAGUAAGACAGGUGGCAGGGAUAACAAGGGUGAAGGGACGCGCGGCAAGCCAGGAAGAGCGAGCAGGUGAGAAGACAAAGGGGUUCAGUCAAAUAAGAUUCAAGUGCAGUCUUCGCUGUACCUUGAUAAUGUGAUAUAUAGCAAAAGAAUCAGGCGGGGCGGGGCGGGGCUUGGGUCAAAGGAUACAUGACUGCUAUCAUUUACGAAAGGGAAGCAAUGGAAAGUGAGAAUAAGAGAAGAGAAAUGAAAGGAGAGUAUGGGCCGUAUUCUGAAACGGUUUGCUCUCAUCACGACUAUUUUCAAGAGAGUUUAUCCUGUUAAUAAUAUAGAAAUCUUAUUAAUCUGUCGCUAAAACUGUAAAUACACCUUUAAAAACCCGUACAACUUUAAUUAGAAUCUUUGAAAACUAAGUGGGGUGCGGUGCAGAGGCGUUUCAGUCUAUGACCUAUGUAUUAUAAACGGAAGGUUGAAAUCUUAGUCUAGACUCGCACCAUCAGAAAAUCACUGACCAUGAUAUAACUAAUAACGCUGUGCAUCUAAACACAUCUACUUGCAAAAGAAAAUAAGCAGUUUGUUGUUUGCGCGUGUGUUCAUUGGGAAAAAAAAAAGUAUUCGUUCGUAAUGCCAAGCGAACGGUAUUUCAACAUAGAGUGGUUCUUUUCUUUUUCUUUUUUUUUCUUUUUUUUUUUCAAACUCCAUUCUGCCUCAUGACUUACAAUAUGAACCCCGCUAAAAAUAUCUGUAAUAAAUUGUCUCCUUCACUUCUCCCUCCUUUGUUUCAUCCAGAUGGUACCACUGCUAUCACCUUUAUCACUAAAGCUGAACUCUUCCCUCAAACCUUGGUUAAAAUUCCGCAAUACGUGAUGUUUAUAACGAUUUAUUUUGUUCAUUUUUUUUUUUUUUUUUUACUUUUUCUACCGGACUACAUUUUCUAUGACCUCCGUAGCUGACACUCGGAACCAUGACGUCAGAAUAAUGGUUGUGCGGUUCUUAUCGUCUUCAAAACAAUGUCAUCCUCGCUCACAUUCCGCAAACUCUCUCUCUCUCUCUCUCUCUCUCUCUCUCUCUCUCUCUCUCUCUCUCUCUCUCUCUCUCUCUCUC